rnacentral:rRNA from 1 species
CACGUAGGGGGCGAGCGUUGUCCGGAUUUAUUGGGCGUAAAGAGCGUGUAGGCGGCUAGGUAGGUCCGUUGUGAAAACUCGAGGCUCAACCUCGAGACGCCGAUGGAAACCAUCUAGCUAGAGUCCGGAAGAGGAGAGUGGAAUUCCUGGUGUAGCGGUGAAAUGCGUAGAUAUCAGGAAGAACACCCGUGGCUAAGGCGGCUCUCUAGUACGGUACUGACGCUGAGACGCGAAAGCGUGGGGAGCGAACAGG